rnacentral:tRNA from 1 species
AAGUAAUUAGCUCAAUUGGUAGAGCGUCUCGCUUACAACGAGAAUGUUAUCGGUUCGAGUCCGCUAUUACUUA